rnacentral:rRNA from 1 species
GAUGAACGCUGGCGGCGUGCCUAAUACAUGCAAGUCGAGCGAACAGAUGAGGAGCUUGCUCCUCUGACGUUAGCGGCGGACGGGUGAGUAACACGUGGAUAACCUACCUAUAAGACUGGGAUAACUUCGGGAAACCGGAGCUAAUACCGGAUAAUAUAUUGAACCGCAUGGUUCAAUAGUGAAAGACGGUUUUGCUGUCACUUAUAGAUGGAUCCGCGCCGCAUUAGCUAGUUGGUAAGGUAACGGCUUACCAAGGCAACGAUGCGUAGCCGACCUGAGAGGGUGAUCGGCCACACUGGAACUGAGACACGGUCCAGACUCCUACGGGAGGCAGCAGUAGGGAAUCUUCCGCAAUGGGCGAAAGCCUGACGGAGCAACGCCGCGUGAGUGAUGAAGGUCUUCGGAUCGUAAAACUCUGUUAUUAGGGAAGAACAAAUGUGUAAGUAACUAUGCACGUCUUGACGGUACCUAAUCAGAAAGCCACGGCGAACUACG